UACAGAGGUCUCAAGCGUUGUUCGGAUUCAUUGGGCGUAAAGGGCACGUAGGCGGCGGGGUAAGUCGGGUGUGAAAUCUCAGAGCUCAACUCUGAAAUGGCACUUGAUACUGCUCUGCUAGAGGACUGGAGAGGAGAUUGGAAUUCACGGUGUAGCAGUGAAAUGCGUAGAUAUCGUGAGGAAGACCGGUGGCGAAGGCGGAUCUCUGGACAGUUCCUGACGCUGAGGCGCGAAGGCCAGGGGAGCAAACGGG
rnacentral:rRNA from 1 species